rnacentral:tRNA from 1 species
GGCCUUGUAGCUCAGUUGGCUAGAGCGUUGGCUAUACGAAAGCCUUUCCCUUGCUGGCGUGGGUUCGAAUCCCACUGAGGCCA